AGAACGAACGCUGGCGGCAGGCUUAACACAUGCAAGUCGAGCGCAUGUCUUCGGACAUGAGCGGCGGACGGGUGAGUAACGCGUGGGAACGUGCCCAAAGGUACGGGAUAACAGUUGGAAACGACUGCUAAUACCGUAUGUGCCCUACGGGGGAAAGAUUUAUCGCCUUUGGAUCGGCCCGCGUCGGAUUAGGUAGUUGGUGGGGUAACGGCCCACCAAGCCGACGAUCCGUAGCUGGUUUGAGAGGAUGAUCAGCCACACUGGGACUGAGACACGGCCCAGACUCCUACGGGAGGCAGCAGUGGGAAUCUUGGACAAGUGGGGGACAACCCUGAUCCGAGCCAUGCCGCGUGAGCGAGUGAAGGCCCUAGGGUGUAAAGCUCUUUCGACCCGU
rnacentral:rRNA from 1 species